UGUAUCUAUCUGACAGACCUGAGGCAGUUACUAUCUGCUGCUAAGGUUUCCACUACAGACACAAGGAAAAAGUGUCCUCAUGCUUUCUGUUUGAUUGUGGCAGCCCAAAUCCAAUGUGGAAAUACAGGA
rnacentral:snoRNA from 1 species